GAUAAAGAGCUCUGCCUUUACACAAUGUCCAAUAAAGGAGCGACAGUGAGAUCAGAGAGAGAAGCCCAUUUUUAUUUCCAUUAACAAAUAUAAUAAUUCAAUGCGGCGAAACUUGUGAUGAGAACAGAGUACGCCGGAAAUGGGAUCAAAGUAAGAGGCUCGUUUACCAAUGCGAUUUCGAUGAGAGAGAGUGUCUCUGACGACAUUCCAUUUCCAGGGGUUUUGUUACAGGAGGGGAUGAUUUGACCAGGCACUACAAACGGCAAAUUGGAAACAGGAGAGCCUCUUUUCUCUCUCUAGUCUGCAUCUAACCACUUUCUCUCUGUACCAUUUUUUCCCUGUCUCUUUCUCUCUCUAGAGCUGUGAUUCAUUUGCUUUCGCUGUCGAAGAGUAACGACGGUCGAGCGAGCGAUUCUGUUUGCCUUUUCCAGGUCUCUUAGAAACCUGCACAUCCAAUUUAAUGGGCCACCACAAAAGCCAAAUCAACAAGAAGCCGAAAUUUCCGAUGAAAAUCAGUGCUCCUUACUUUGGCUCAAUUUCAGAGUAAGCUAUUGCUUCUGGAGAAAAUGAAUAUAAAAAGUACAGGGUAAAUUUCGCACGGAUCUUUAACUAAUGGAAAAAGUCUGAACAAUCAAAUUAGAGCCCACCUAAAAAAUUUCAGGGUGGCAAUGGACCCAGAACAUUGCCUGGGACCCUGGUAUACCUGAAGGGGUCCAGGUAUAGGUUCAACAUUUGGACCCGGUGUGUCCGGAUUGGGUCCAACACUUAGACCCGAAUACUAUUUGAGUUUGGGUUCGGGUUCAAUUGGACUUGACUCGUACCAAUAAACUGUUGGCGAUAAAAUACUUCAAGUCCUAUUCGUUUUGGUGUAUUAUGGAUAGUAUACAAUAAGAAUUCAAAAUCAUCUUCAAUCAUUAAACAACAAAUAAGACGACUUGAAAUCUAGUGGCGGGUUGUGAACUUGUUGCCAAUAAUUUCGGUAUAUGAUGGUAAAGAAAGAGCAAAAAAAAAAAAGAAGCUCAUAGUGAAGGUCGGUAUAUGAUGGUAAAGAAAGAGCUAAAAAAAAAAAAGAAGCUCAUAGUGAAGGUGGGGAUGGACCCGACCAGAUCCGGGACCUAACAAAUAUGGGUCUAGGUCCAACUUUUGGACCCGAUGGGUCAGGUCCAGGUCUAAAUUUACAUUCGGGUCUGGGUCCGAGACCAUCCGGACCCAAGCCGUUGCUAUCCCUAACUAGAAGAGGUUGUUUUGAUGCCCAAAUAUCCUCAAAUUGAUCUUCUCGACAUCAAAAUGCAUGGACAUGAGAAAAGAAAAAAAAAAGAUUUCAAAUUUUGGAAAUAGUGCAUCUUGUAACGCAUUUUUUAACGUCAAUUUUCAAAUUUUCAUAGAUCUGCUUGAUACACUAUUUUUUAAACUUCUAAAUUUUAUAAUUAAAGAUAAAAAUAUAUUUUAAAGCUAUCCCAAUGACUUCCAAUAUUGAAACCGCAUUUCUCGAUUCUAUUUGAAGGUGAGAUAUACUUUGAUCGUUUAGAGCCUGGGCUCUAUACAAACCGCACCCUUAAGUAAGUAAUGGGGUGCUGAGAAUUAAAAAAUAUAAUUAAAAAGAAAAAGACAACAAUAACAGCUGAGAAUUAAAACAGACAAUUAAAAAGAAAAAGACAACAAUAACAGUUGCAUGAGUGGGGAUUUAUUGGAAAAUUGGGAAAUUGAGUUGCAAAUUUUGCCAGUGGCGUUUAGAAAGAGGAAGGACAAUGUGAAACUCUACCUUAGGGCUUGCAAUGGGCCGGUCGGCAUGGCCCUUAAAAAAAAAAAGGAAGGGACGAUGCGACAACUAGUGGAGCGAGGGCGUGGGCGUAGGGCGUAGGGCCGACGUGCCGACGCCCGGGUCGGUCCCGUCCGUUUUUUUUUUAACUUUUUUAGGUAAAACGGUNNNNNNNNNNNNNNNNNNNNCCUAUCCCCUGUGUGCCUUGCCUCCCACGACUAGCGAGGGCUGGGCUAGGGCUAGGGCCAGUGCCAGCCCGGGUGUCCCUCUUUUUUUUUUUUAAUGGAAAAAGUUUAUGAAAGAUUGCAACCCUAAUAUGUAGAAUUAACGAUGCACCUCAAAAAUUCAUCAUAAAAAGGUUGUUUUAAUAUUGAAAAAACCUCUAAUUGAUCAUCUCGACAUCGAGAUAUAUGAAUAUGAAAAAAAAAAAGAAGAUUGAGUCCCAAAAAAUAAUGCAUCUUGCAACACAUUAUCUAGACCGCCCAUUUCCAAGAUUUUCAUAUGUUGAUAGAUCUACUUGAUUUUAACCAUUUUUUAAAUUUAAAAUUUUAUAAUUAGAUAGAUUUUUAGAUAAUUCUAAAAAAAUUUCACACCAAAAUUACAUUAUAUGAUAAAAUUUGGAGGCUGGAUUGUUUAAGGUUGCAACUUAUAGAAACCACCUGUUUUCUAUAUUAUUUUUCUUUUAUCUUGCUUCAUUUGUUUUGGGCCCAGCCCGACCCUAUUAGAGCCAGGGCCAGGCUUGGGCCUGUCCAGGGCCACCCUUACUCUACAAUAGUAACUUGUGACCAACAAAAGGUUCACCAGACUUGUCCCUUGGUUUUGUUAUUUUUGUUCCCUCAAAUGAAUGGACAGGAUUGAAAGAGAUUGUCACCAUACAAGAAGACCCACAUUCGGAUAGUCUAGGUGUAAACAAGCAUUUACUUAAAGGAAAAAGUUUAUACGAGGAUGCAACCUUAUAAUGUAGAACUAUGGAUGCAGCUCAAAAAUCGAUAGUUUUAAUGUUGAAAAACCCUUUGAUUGAUCAUCUCGACAUCAAGAUGUAUGACCAUGAAAAAUAAAAUAUUUAAGUCUCAGAAAUAGUGCAUUUUACAACAUAUUAUCUACACUGACCAUUUUCAAGAUUUUCAUAUGUUUAUAGAUCCACUUGAUUUUAACCAUUUUUGAAAUUUAAAAUUUUACAAUUAGAUAUAAAAAUAGAUUUUGAGAUAAUCCUAAGAACAUUUUAUAUCAAAAUUAUAUACAAUGAUAAAAUUUGAAGGUUCACCUUACCUCUACCGCUAUGGAUGCAUUGAAUGCCAACUGCCCCCUUACUUAAAUAGGGGGGAGUUUUUACUUUUUGGAUAACAAACAAAUUAGUCACUGCAUGAAAGACCGACAUGGGUGAAAAAUAGAACGUAGCAUUUAAGGAGGGAAAAGGUUUAUAUAAGGAUGCAAGGAUGCCCCUCAAAAAUCCAUCGGAAAAUGUAGUUUCAAUGUUGAAAAACCCUUUGAUUGAUCAUCUCGACAUCGAGAUGUAAGACUAUGAAAAAUAAAAAGAUUUUAAAUCUCAGAAAUAGUGCAUUUUACAAUAUAUUACUACAUCAUCCAUUUUCAAGAUUUUCAUAUGUUUAUAGAUCUACUUGAUUUUAACCAUUUUUUAAAUUAAAAUUUUAUAAUUAGAUAUAAAAAUAGAUUUUGAGAUGAUCCUAAUAACAUUUUAUAUCAAAAUUAUAUACCAUAAUAAAAUUUGAAGGGCACCUUACCUCUACACCUACGGAGGUGGCGUCCGUAUGCCAACUGCACCCAAUAAGGAGAGACUGGAAGUUUUGCCAUAAGAGAAGUGGAAACAUCCAAGAGGUUCUAAAAUAUCACCAAAUGAAAAUUAAUGGAGCAUUUAUAGUGCCCACGCUGCUAAACAUUGGGCCCCAAGACAAACAAAAUCUCAAAAAUGAGAAAUAAAUAAAGGGCAAGGAAAAAGACAAUGGAAAAUGAACAAUCUAAACCAAUGUAUCAAAGGCAACCACAAGCUAACAAAACUAUAUUCAAGAUCCAUAUCCCGCGGAACUAUUCUCCCAGCAAAAUAAAGAAAGACAAUAAUAAAUAGGGGUUAUAUGGAAUUUAUAUACGCUACCCCUCCCAGCUGUCCAAUCUGGAUGGACGGAUGAGAUGGCCUCAAUCACAAUGCCACGCUUAAACACUAUUUUAUUUUAAAGUUUUUUCAUAGAAAUCAUAUUGACACAAAAUUUGGAUCGUCCAAUCUUCUCAUAAGCUCACACCUACAAAAAAUAUUACAAUUGUUUUUUCAAAAAAUAAGAUGAACAAAAUACCCCUAAAAGUUUCAAAGGCAGUUUGGCCAUUUCAUUUUCAUGAAAAUAUUUUUAAAUAUUUUUUUUAGAUGCACCCUAUUGAGAUAAAUAUAAACACUAAAUUUCAUAUUCAUUUGAUUUGUGUAAAAACUAUUAAAAAUAAAAUACUCUGAACUAUUAGAUCCAGAUCAAGCAGCAUUUGAUUUGUGUAAAAACUAUUAAAAAUAAAAUACUCUGAACUAUUAGAUCUAGAUCAAGCAGUCAACAAGGCUCACUUGUGACAUUAUGGGGUGAAGGUAUCCUAGCCAUUCAUUCGGAUCUAACAACUAGGAAAAAUUCCAUCUAUAAAUUCCCUAUGCCUAGUGGUACAAAAAAAGCUUUUUCUUUUUUUUGAAAAUGUUAACAUUAAUGGCACAUAGAAAGCAUUCUCAUAAUAAAUUGAAUUCCAGCAACAGAAUGAUUAUAAAAAGGCAUGUUUGAUAACCGGAAUGCUUUCUAGAAGUUAGAACUUACCCAUUACUGUUUGUUUGAUAAAAAACAGUAAGGUGAAUAAAAAACUUACCUAUUACUAUUCAUGUUCACAGCUUUGUGUGCAAAAACGGUUCCAACCAAAAGGUCGGAACUUCAAAAAUUCCCCCGAUGACAUUUUGCCCUAAAAACAGUCUUAGAGCACUCAGCCACCCCUCUCGUCGCACUCAGCCGCUCGCUAGCAACCAGAACCAUCUCUGGUUCUCUCUCUCACUCACUCCUCUAUUGGUUACGUGCCCUAAAAAAGGCGCAACCACAACCAUCUAUGCCCUAAAAACGUGCCGAGAGUCAAAGAAGACGGAUGAGCAUGUGUUUUCAUCUUUCUCGAGGUAUGCUAUUGAGCUAUG
rnacentral:lncRNA from 1 species